UAGGGAAUCUUCCGCAAUGGGCGAAAGCUUGACGGAGCAACGCCGCGUGAGUGAUGAAGGUCUUCGGAUCGUAAAACUCUGUUAUUAGGGAAGAACAAAUGUGUAAGUAACUAUGCACGUCUUGACGGUACCUAAUCAGAAAGCCACGGCUAACUACGUGCCAGCAGCCGCGGUAAUACGUAGGUGGCAAGCGUUAUCCGGAAUUAUUGGGCGUAAAGCGCGCGUAGGCGGUUUUUUAAGUCUGAUGUGAAAGCCCACGGCUCAACCGUAGAGGGUCAUUGGAAACUGGAAAACUUGAAUGCAGAGGAGGAAAGUGGUAUUCCAUGUGUAGCGGUGAAGUGCGCAGAUAUAUGGGGGAACACCAGUGGCGAAGGCGACCUUCUGGUCUGUAACUGACGCUGAUGUGCGAAAGCGUGGGGAUCAAACAAG
rnacentral:rRNA from 1 species